rnacentral:lncRNA from 1 species
ACAGAAUUCCACGAGUUUUGUUGUUUAUCUGUUUCUGCAGGGGGUUAUCAGGAAAUAAGGAAGAAAGGCCUACAUGUCGGGAUUACAUAGAGAUAUCAACGCACCGCGCAAUUUUACAUCAUCUAGAAGACCCCAGAAGCCACGAGACCGAAGCGGAGGCAAAACUGGGCCAGGCCUAGGGCACCAGCCCUGGUAGCCUGGGCGCCCGCCCCCCUGCUGGAGCCAAAUCAGGACUCUUUCGUUCGGGAUAUUCCACCGACCUACAGGAUCAAGAAAAACAUAGUACCACCCCGGC